rnacentral:rRNA from 1 species
CCAUGCAGUCGAGCGCGAAAGCGGCUUCGGCCGUUAGUAGAGCGGCGGACGGGUGAGGAACACGUGGGUAACCUAUCCUCGGGUGGGGAAUAACCCAGGGAAACCUGGGCUAAUUCCGCAUAACAUCCUUAGCUCACAAGAGUUUUGGAUCAAAGCUGGGGACCCUUCGGGGCCUGGCGCCAGAGGAGGGGCCCGCGGCCGAUUAGCUUGUUGGUGAGGUAACGGCUCACCAAGGCUUCGAUCGGUAGCCGGCCUAAGAGGGCGGACGGCCACACUGGGACUGAGAUACGGCCCAGACUCCUACGGGAGGCAGCAGUGGGGAAUUUUUGUCAAUGGGGGGAAACCCUGAACAAGCAACGCCGCGUGGAGGACGAAGACCUUCGGGUCGUAAACUCCUGUCGGAGGGGACGAAACCGAUUAUGGUUAAUACCCGUAGUCAUUGACGGUACCCUUAGAGGAAGCCCCGGCUAACUCCGUGCCAGCAGCCGCGGUAAUACGGGGGGGGCAAGCGUUGUUCGGAAUUACUGGGCGUAAAGGGCGUGUAGGCGGUCCUGCAAGUCUUUCGUGAAAUCCCACAGCUCAACUGUGGAACUGCGAGGGAAACUGCAGGACUUGAGUC